UUAUGGCUGCAUCUGUUUUUUUUCCGGAAGAACUUUCAACCAAAGGAAAAAUUCAAUACAAGAACUGAGUGAAUUGAACAACGACUGUACAGACUGACUAAGAAUGCAACACAAGAAUUAACCGAAGAAUUGCGAGAACAUUUAAAAUCGGACUCCUAUAACUCAACAGCUUUAUCUUGCGAUGAGCAGGUUCUUAUUGGCCUUCGAUUGCUAUCGAGUGGAUCCUUUCAGAAUGUUAUAGCAAGCGAUCAUGGUGUUAGUCGACCCUGCGUUUCCAGAGUGCUUAAUAAAUUUCUUGAUGCAAUUAUACAAAUUGCUGAAGAGUGCAUUAAAAUGCCUUCCACAACAAGAGAAAUAAUAAUAAAAAAACAGCAAUUUCGAGCAAUUAAUGGAUUAAUUGGUGCAAUUGAUGGAACUCUCAUUCCUAUUGAAAGGCCACAUGAGAAUGAGCAUUUGUACGUGUCAAGGAAAGGUUAUCAAUGUCCAGGUAUAUAUAUCAUGUUAAUUAUCAUAUGUUGAAUUGAUAUUUUAACUGACUUUCUUUUUAGGCAAUUUCAGAUAGUGAUCUUGUUUUCCUGGAUCCACUCAUGAUUCAUUCAUACUAAGAAGGAGCUCCUUAUAUGAUAAAAUGCAGCGAAAAGAUUAUGAAGAUUGUUAUUGCCAAAACAAUAACAUCAUUUGGUUAUUAGGUUAGCAAUUUAGGCCUGUAUCAUGAAGGUAUCAUGAAUUCAAUACAUUUUUUUAAAGGUGAUUCUGGGUAUCCUUUGCUGCCAUGGCUUAUGACUUCAAUUCAAGAGUCCUUAGUUACUGGAGAAGGGCAAAUGAAUUAUAACAGAGCACAUAAAUCAACAAGGUAACAUAUACAAUAAUGUAUUAAAUGAACAAUUUCUGUACUUUUAUUUUAAGGGUGGUAAUUGAAAGAGCAUUUGGAGUUUUGAAAAGAAGAUGGAGGAUUCUAGAUCACUCUGGUGGAAAGCUUUGUUACCGACCGGAUAAAACCGCAAAGAUUGUGAUUGCUUGUGUGGUGUUGCAUAACAUUUGUCGUAUAAAAAAUAUAGAACUUUAAGAUGCUGUACAGGUUUAUACUUGAACUCACCAGAAUGAUCACACAAGAGGACUGGGACAACGCAAUAUUCUUGUAAAUUUUUUUAGUUAAUUUUUAUUGUUAAGUAUUCACUACUAGUAACACACACAAAUCGGUCCCUUUAAUUAGUGCAUGUCCGCUAUGUUCGCAAUAUCCACUGUGUCCGAUAUGUUCGCAAUAUCCACUGUGUCCGA